UACAGAGGGUGCGAGCGUUGUCCGGAAUCACUGGGCGUAAAGGGCGCGUAGGUGGCGGCCCAAGUCCAUGGUGAAAGCUCGAUGCUCAACAUCGAGUCGGCCACGGAUACUGGGUUGCUCGAGCACUGUAGGGGCAGAUGGAAUUCCUGGUGUAGCGGGUGAAAUGCGCAGAUAUCAAGGAGGAACACCGGUGGCGAAGGCGGGUCUCUGG
rnacentral:rRNA from 1 species